AUGACAUUAUUAUUGGGACCACCUGCAUCUGGGAAGUCAACGCUCUUGCUGGCCCUAGCUGGCAAACUGGAUCCUAAGCUAAAGAAAAGUGGAGGGAUUACCUACAAUGGAAUUGCUUUGGAUGAAUUUUGUGUACAAAGAACUUCUGCAUAUAUUAGUCAAACAGAUAACCAUCUUGGGGAGCUGACAGUAAGGGAAACUUUAGAUUUUGCUGCAAAAUGCCAAGGCGCAAGCGAAAACUGGGGAGAAUGCUUGAAAGAAUUGGUCAAUCUUGAACAAAAAAGAGGCAUGCGUCCUAGUCCCGAGAUAGACGCUUUUAUGAAGGCAGCAUCAGUCGGAGGAGAUAAGCACAAUCUUGUUACCGACUAUGUACUGAGAGUGCUUGGGCUGGAUAUAUGUGCGGAUACCCUUGUAGGCAGCGACAUGGAAAGGGGUGUCUCUGGUGGUCAGAGGAAGAGAGUGACAACAGGUGAAAUGAUUGUUGGACCUAGAAAAACACUUCUCAUGGAUGAAAUAUCAACAGGUCUUGACAGCUCAACAACUUUUCAAAUAGUGAAGUGCCUGAGGAACUUCGUCCAUGAGAUGGAGGCAACCGUGCUCAUGUCACUUCUUCAGCCUGCACCAGAGACGUUUGAACUAUUUGAUGAUCUAAUUCUAUUGUCGGAAGGGAAGAUCGUCUACCAAGGCCAGAUUGACCAUGUUGUGGAGUACUUUAAAUCAUUAGGAUUUUCAUUGCCACCACGCAAGGGUAUUGCUGAUUUUCUCCAGGAGGUAACUUCAAAGAAAGAUCAAGCUCAGUACUGGUCUGACCUGUCAAAACCAUAUUCGUUUAUUCCUGUGUCAGCAAUGGCUGCUGCAUUUACAGAUUCCCAGUAUGGUAGAAAUCUUGAGUUCCAUCCACAUAAUUCAGACGGUCAUACAAAUUCUCCUGAGGCUCUUGCCCGAUCCAAGUUUGCCAUAUCAAAAUAUAGGCUCAUUAGAGCGUGUUUUGCCAGGGAGCUUAUUCUCAUAAGCCGUCACCGUUUCCUCUACACUUUUAGGACAUGCCAAGUUGCUUUUGUUGGGCUCAUUACAAGCACACUAUUUUUACGGACAAGAUUACAUCCAAUUGAUGAGCAAAAUGGAGAGCUCUAUCUCUCUUGUCUUUUUUUUGGGCUUGUACAUAUAAUGUUUAAUGGUUUUUCAGAACUGUCUAUAACUAUUUUUCGACUUCCGGUGUUCUAUAAGCAAAGAGAUAAUUGCUUUCAUCCUGCAUGGGCUUUCUCACUUCCCAAUUGGAUACUAAGAAUUCCGUAUUCUAUUAUUGAAGCCACAGUGUGGUCUUGUGUUGUCUAUUACACCGUAGGCUUUGCACCAACUGUUGAUAGAUUUUUUCGCUUUAUGUUGCUAUUGUUCUCUAUACAUCAAAUGGCUUUGGGCCUUUUCCGGAUGAUGGGAGCUAUUGCACGAGACAUGACAAUCGCCAACACUUUUGGAUCAGCUGCCAUGAUGGCUAUUUUUCUUUUGGGGGGAUUUAUUAUUCCUAAAGAGGCCAUAAAACCGUGGUGGGAGUGGGCGUACUGGGUUUCCCCAUUAAUGUAUGGGCAACGUGCAAUUUCAGUUAAUGAAUUCUCAGAUUCUAGAUGGUCAAAGGUUUCAAGUUAUAUGAACAAUACAAUUGGAACCAAUGUACUUCUUGCACAUGAUCUGGGGACACAGAAUUACUGGUACUGGAUUGGGGUUGGUGUUUUAUUGGCUUACGCCCUCUUGUUCAAUGUUUUGUUUACUCUUGCAUUGGCAUACCUUAACCCCCUUCAAAAGGCACAGGCACUAAUCCUGGCUAACUCCGAGGAAUCCAAAGAUUUGAAAAUUGCCGGUGCUACCUCCGAUAGAAACACAACUACAGAUAAAUGUAACAGGACCAAUGUGCUUGAAGUGAGCACUGAAGGCACCAGAAGGAAGGGGAUGUUACCAUUUCAACCCAUAACCAUGACGUUCCACAAUGUCAACUAUUUUGUUGACAUGCCAAAGGAAAUGCAAGCAAGAGGAAUAACUGAAAAACGACUGCAGUUGUUGUUUGAAGUAAGCGGAGUAUUUAGGCCACGUGUCCUGACUGCACUCGUUGGCUCAAGUGGUGCUGGAAAGACAACACUUAUGGAUGUUUUAGCUGGCAGAAAAACUAGUGGGUGUAUAGAAGGUGAUAUCAAGAUUUCUGGCCAUCCAAAAGAACAACAAACCUUUGCUAGGGUAGCGGGAUAUGUUGAACAAAAUGACAUACAUUCACCACAAGUAACAGUUGAAGAGUCCUUGUGGUUUUCAUCAGCCUUACGGCUUCCAAAUGACAUAAGUAGAGAAACAAAAAAGGCAUUUGUUGAAGAAGUCAUGUCAUUGGUAGAGCUGGAUGAAUUGCGACAUGCAUUAGUAGGGAAACAAGGUUCUAGUGGACUUUCAACGGAGCAAAGGAAGCGUCUUACAAUAGCUGUUGAACUAGUUGCAAAUCCAUCCAUUAUUUUUGAUGAACCUACAUCUGGUUUGGAUGCACGAGCAGCUGCCAUUGUGAUGCGCACUGUUCGAAAUGCUGUUGAUACCGGACGAACUGUCGUCUGCACGAUACACCAGCCAAGUAUCGAUAUUUUUGAAUCAUUUGAUGAGCUACUACUUUUGAAACGAGGAGGUCGAGUAAUAUAUGGAGGUUCACUUGGUGUUAACUCAAUAGAUAUGAUUCAUUAUUUUCAGGGAAUUCCUGGAGUCCCUCCCAUACGCGAAGGCUACAACCCAGCAACAUGGAUGCUUGAAGUGAGCACACAAGCGUGUGAAGAAAGGCUUGGUUUAGAUUUUGCAACGGUGUACAAGAACUCAGAUCAGUUCAGGAAUGUGGAAGAUUUAAUAGAAGAACUAAGUGUUCCGGAUUCAGGCUCAAAACCUUUAAAGUUCACAACUGAGUUUUCACACGGUUGUCUUACUCAAUUUGGAGUAUGCCUACGUAAGCAAGGCCUUAUUUACUGGAGAAGCCCUGAGUACAAUGUCGUGAGAUUGUUUUACACAGCAAUAGCUUCUCUUAUAUUUGGUUCAAUAUUUUGGAACGUUGGGAUGAAGAGAGAAACAACCAGGGAUUUGUAUCUUGUCAUGGGAGCUUUAUAUUCGGCAUGCCUAUUUCUUGGAAUAAAUAAUGCCUCGUCAGUACAGCCUAUAAUUUCCGUUGAGAGAGCAGUCUACUACAGAGAACGGGCUGCUAAGAUGUACUCAUCAUUCCCAUAUGCAGCAGCUCAGGGCCUUAUAGAGAUACCUUAUAUUGCGACUCAGACACUAAUAUUCGGUCUCAUCACUUACUUCAUGAUCAACUACGAGAGGAACCUAGGGAAAUUGCUCCUUUACCUCCUUUACAUGUUCCUUACUUUUACCUACUUCACAUUCUAUGGGAUGGUGGCGGUAGGUUUGACGCCAACACAAUCAGUGGCAGCAGUGGUAGCCUCAGCAUUUUACUCCUCAUGGAAUCUUUUCUCUGGGUUCCUAAUUCCCCAAUCUAGAAUACCAGGUUGGUGGAUCUGGUUCUACUACAUCUGCCCAGUGGCCUGGACCCUGAAAGGCAUCAUUACAUCGCAAUUGGGAGAUGUCGACACGAGGAUCGUGGGUCCUGGUUUUGACGGGACAGUCCAACAGUUCGUCCAGCAAAACCUGGGAUGUGAACAGGGGAUGACGGGUGUCACUAUUGCAGUGCUCAUUGCCUUCUGCGUCUUAUUCUUUUCAGUUUACGCGCUUUCUAUCAAGAUGCUUAAUUUCCAAAGAAGAUAA
rnacentral:rRNA from 1 species